rnacentral:rRNA from 1 species
UAACUGCGGAGGUGAAGCGGGAAAAGCUCAAAUUUAAAAUCUGGCGUCCUCCGGGCGUCCGAGUUGUAAUCUGGAGAAGCGUUUUCCGCGUCGGACCGUGUACAAGUCUUCUGGAACGGAGCGUCAUAGAGGGUGAGAAUCCCGUCUCUGACACGGACUACCGAUGCUUUUGUGAUGCGCUCUCGAAGAGUCGAGUUGUUUGGGAAUGCAGCUCAAAAUGGGUGGUAAAUUCCAUCUAAAGCUAAAUAUUGGCCAGAGACCGAUAGCGAACAAGUACCGUGAGGGAAAGAUGAAAAGCACUUUGGAAAGAGAGUUAAACAGUACGUGAAAUUGUUGAAAGGGAAACGCUUGAAGUCAGUCGCGUUGGCCGAGACUCAGCCUGGCUUGCCUGGUGUACUUCUCGGUUGACGGGUCAGCAUCAGUUUUGACCGUCGGAUAAAGGUUGGAGGAAUGUGGCAUCCCUCGGGAUGUGUUAUAGCCUCUGAUUCGCAUACGGCGAUUGGGACUGAGGAACUCAGCACGCCUUUAUGGUCGGGGUUCGCCCACGUAACGUGCUUAGGAUGCUGKCAUAAUGGCUUUAAGCGACCCGUCUUGAAACACGGACCAAGGAGUCUAACAUGCCCGCGAGUGUUUGGGUGUUAAACCCGAGCGCGUAAUGAAAGUGAAAGUGAGAUCCCUGUCGUGGGAGC